rnacentral:rRNA from 1 species
UACGUAGGGUGCAAGCGUUAAUCGGAAUUACUGGGUGUAAAGCGUGCGCAGGCGGUUUUGUAAGUCUGAUGUGAAAUCCCCGGGCUCAACCUGGGAAUUGCAUUGGAGACUGCAAGGCUAGAAUCUGGCAGAGGGGGGUAGAAUUCCACGUGUAGCAGUGAAAUGCGUAGAGAUGUGGAGGAACACCGAUGGCGAAGGCAGCCCCCUGGGUCAAGAUUGACGCUCAUGCACGAAAGCGUGGGGAGCAAACAGG